GGAUGAGCUUGCGUCCUAUCAGGUAGUCGGUGAGGUAAAAGCUCACCAAGCCUACGACGGGUAGCUGGCCUCAUGAGGGUGGUCAGCCAGAGGGGGACUGAGACACGGCCCCCACUCCUACGGGAGGCAGCAAUCAGGAAUAGUCGGCAAUGGACGAAAGUCUGACCGCGCGACGCCGCGUGUAGGAUGAAGCUUCACAAGAGUGUAAACUACUGUGGUAGGGGAAAAGAAAGGAUUGUACCCUACUAGAAAGCAGCCGCUAACUGCGUGCCAGAAGCGUCGGUAAUACGUGGGCUGCGAGCGUUAUCCGGUGUCAUUGGGCGUAAAGAGUCGUGUAGGUG
rnacentral:rRNA from 1 species